rnacentral:lncRNA from 1 species
CCCAAAUCUUCUUCGAUGUAUCAUGUUUUCCUAUCUGAAGUAAUAACGCUUCCGGGACUGAUUGAAAGAUUAGAGCAAUCGCCAUAUUGUUCUUCUUUGCAUCAUCGCUCCCUCGAUCAAUCGUAUCCCAAACAUCGUAUAAACGAAGCAUAACUUUUAUUCGCAUCGACCAUACGAUGUAGUUGGUCGAUGAUAGCAUCAGAUAUCGUAUGUCCUUCUUCAUCUCAAGACCUUUAUCACGUCCUUGAGAAUUGUUAUUGUCUCCCAUGUUUUGAUCGAGUUAUAACUCCUCUUGUAAACGAUCUUCGAAACCUGGAGCUCUGAUACCAAUUAAAAUUGCACAAACACAAAGAUUAUAACAACUUCUCUUC